rnacentral:rRNA from 1 species
AUUGAACGCUGGCGGCGGGCCUAACACAUGCAAGUCGAACGAGUGGCGGACGGGUGAGUAAUGUCUGGGAAACUGCCCGAUGGAGGGGGAUAACUACUGGAAACGGUAGCUAAUACCGCAUACCAUCGGAUGUGCCCAGAUGGGAGUAGCUAGUAGGUGGGGUAACGGCUCACAUAGGCGACGAUCCCUAGCUGGUCUGAGCGGAUGACCAGCCACGCGGGAACUUAGACACGGGCCAGACUCCUACGGGAGGCAGCAGUGGGGAAUAUUGGACAAUGGGCGCAAGCCUGAUGCAGCCAUGCCGCGUGUAUGAAGAAGGCCUUCGGGUUGUAAAGUACUUUCAGCGAGGAGGCGUUACUCGCAGAAGAAGCACCGGCUAACUCCGUGCCAGCAGCCGCGGUAAUUC